AGGGGGAGGGCAGUGGGCCCCCAUGGAGCAACUUUUUUGCGGCGGACGGCUGCAGGGAGAGGCCAGCCCAGGUGCGGAGCAAUGCACAUAGCUUCUCCUGGCAAUUCUAGGAAACCUGCAUCUGACCCAGGUUUACUUCUGUCCUCCGUCACUCUCCGGUGUAACCAAGAAGUGGCGCCCAGGAUGGAGGUCUGCGCCCAGGACCAUGCGCGCAUGCAUAGCUCUGUGGAGCCCCUUCGCCAGUAGUUCCCUUCCCUCUUGGCGCAGGAGCAAAUCCUUGUUUUCAAGGGAACAGGAAAGCGAGGGCACUUCUGUGGGCAGAGCCCGUUUUCUGGCUCAGGCAGGCCUGCCGACAGCGGUGUUGCCAAUUCCUGGCAUUCAUAGUUUAAAAGAAAACGGGGAUGGGAGCAGAGAGAGAGAGAAAAUGUUGUUGUUUCAGGGAAUUUGCCCAGAUGAAUACACUUAUCAUGAUAGUUCCCCCCCCCCAUUGUGAUGUUAUUGAAGAUAAAGCUUAUGCUGGGUACUUUUUGAGUAGGGAUUGUCUUUUGGUCACACCUUCAUGGCUGGUUGAGUUGUAGUUACGGGUAGGUAGCCGUGUUGGUCUGACGUAGUCAAAACAAAAUAAAAAAAUUCCUUCCAGCAGCACCUUAGAGACCAACUAAGUUUGUCAUUGGUAUGAGCUUUCGUGUGCAUGAAUCUCCCAGGACAUUCUAUACAAGAUCCCUAAGUACCUGUCUUAUUACAAAAGAAUUUCAGAAAUAGACUGGAAAGAGAAGUUGCUGAACUGCAACUUAUUACCAAGCUUAAAACCAUGGAGAGACCUGGUCUGAAUAAAAUACAUUGGAUUCUUAUCUCAUUAUACAUGAUAAAGCUAUUUUUAGCCAUCUCACCCCUUGCUUUUUCCUGUAGGACCAAUUGCAGUCGUUAACAGCUAUCAGUCAGUCAAUCACCCAUUCCCACCACCCUUCUGAGUAAUACCCCUCCCCACCCUCACUAUAUACAGUAUAAGGGUCCGGUGACUUCUGUUUCAGUGUAUCUGAAAAAGUGUGCAUGCACACGAAAGCUCAAUACCAAUGACAAACUUAGUUGGUCUCUAAGGUGCUGCUGGAAGGAUUUUUUUUAUUUGGUUGAGUUGUGUUAAAGUGAAUCAAUCCUGCUUUUUCUAUUCCAACAGAGGUAGACAGCUUGAUCCUAUAAUUCAGGUUUGGCAAAACUCCUUACCUGGCUGCUUGCGACAAGAAUCUCCUCUAUUUGUGCAUGGAGGGAGGCUUUUGUUAAUACAAGAGCUUUCUUUUUCUUUCAUACUGUGCCACAAAUGACUAAUAUAGGUAUGUGUGUGCGGUCAGGCUAGUAACACUUGUGGCUUUUAAUCAUAAGUCAACUACAGGUUCACUUUAGCAGCUGUAGAAUAAAUAAUAGUUUGCAAUUUGAGACACGUAUGGGAAAAGUAAUUGAUCUCUUGCCAUAGUGAGUAUGGCAUUUUGUGUUGGGUCAUUUGUGGGUCUGUUUUCACUAUCAGCAUGUAAUAUACCUAUUCUUGAAUCAACCUUGGGUUGACAAUCUGUUUCCAGCUUCAGGUUAGCUAGCUUGGCAGGAAUGCAUGAAUUCAGAGUUGUUACUGUUGAUAGAAAUUGUUGUAAGUUUAGCUGGAGUUACUAGAUUGUUACAUAAGUUAUUGCUUGUAAACAAAAAAAAAAUGGAACUGAGGGAGCUGCCUUAUACUGAGUCAGAUCAUUACUCUGUCUAGCUCAGUAUUGUCUACAUUGACUGGCAGUGGGGUCUUGCAGGGUUUCAUAUAGAGGACAUUUCCAGACCUACCUGGAAUUGCUGAGGACUGGGCUGGCCCUGCUAACUGUACACAAAACAUGCUUUACGAUUGGCUUAUGGCCUGUCCUUUAGGCUGUUCAACUUGAAAUUCUUAUCUGUGUUUCUAUGGUUCGAUAUAGGAUGCACAAGUCUCAUAAAUGACUUAACACCUGCUCAUUGUCAUUUUUUGAGAUACCUCCUCUGAAUAGAAAUUAACCAAGUUUAUUUUAGGUCUCUGUCUGGCUAUUUCUGUGUGUUUUCAUAAGAAGUGGGGAAUUUUUAGGAAGCUCUAAGUUUAGGAAGCUCUGAGAACCCUAGAUCAAACAGAACAAACACACUGAUCCCAGUGCAACCUAAGUCAGUACGGGAUUGUUUCCCACAAUCUUCUAAAGAUUGUACAGUGGUACCUCGGGUUACAAACACCUCAGGUUACAGACACUUCGUGUUACAGACUCCGCUAACCCGGAAGUAGUACCUCGGGUUAAGAACUUUACCUCAGGAUGAGAACAGAAAUCGUGUGGUGGCGGCACAGCAGCAGCAGCAGCGAGAUGCCCCAUUAGCUAAUGUGGUACCUCAGGUUAAGAACGGACCUCCGGAACGAAUUAAGUUCGUAACCAGAGGUACCACUGUAUUCAGAUAUACUGUCCCAUCACAUUAGAGCUACAUUGGGCACUUCUGGCAAUGCAGCUGAUUCUGGGAGAAGUCCAAGCAAGAGCAUAUCAGUUGAACCUUCCAACCCUGGUGAGAAAAUGUGCAUAGAAAUUUUCUGCAAGCUUGCAAGUGAUUAUGCUUUGAAAGUCGACUUUACCUACGAACCAAUAUAUAGUACAGUAUGUCUAAACAUAGGGUUCAAUACCAUACCAUCAGAUGGCUUAGAAUCUUUUUCAUGGAUAUUCAGAAAUAAGAUCUUCUAGGGCAGGCAUGUCAAACCUGCGGCCCUCCAGAUGUUUUGGCCUACAACUCCCAUGAUCCCUAGCUAGCAGGAUCAGUGGUUGGGGAAGAUGGGAAUUGUAGUCCAAAACAUCUGGAGGGCCGCAGGUUUGACAUGCCUGUUCUAGGGCAUACCUCUGUGUGUGUGUAGCUGCAUAGGGGGUAGAACCUCAAGCAUCUUGAUGUAUCGGAGGCCUCUGAGCUCUGCUAAUGAAUGCAGUUAGAUUGCCAUUCCUUUUUCUCUACUUGACUCAACUUCAUAUUUGCCUAAAGGUUGCUGGUUGUGAGAUUUUGGGGGGAUAUAUUUUAAAAGUGAACCCUCCCCCAAUAUUUUAAUAAUUAAACUGUUUAUAAACUUUUCUAAAUAAAUUACUGAAACAUAGUUUGUUCUUUAAAGUGAGAUUCUUUACUUAUUUAAAUUAAAAGAUAAAGAGCCCUAACAGUCACCUGAUGCUGUGGCAUUAACAUUAACAUUGAAUUUGAAUUUUUGAAUUCAUUGUUUAGCAGUGCAUUUAUAGAUGGGGAAGUUCCUGGAUUCAGGAAGUGUUUCACUUUCUGGCUGAGCCAAACUACCGUAAGUGAAGGCCAUGUGAACGAAUCACCAUUCCCACUCAUCCCCUCAUUCCUUGGUUUGUGAGCUGCAGUAUUGCAGGGGUCAGGAGUUCUGUGUCACAUCUGUAUAUUCCUUCAACAUCCUUCCUGGCUUGAACUUAAGUAACUAGACUGCAUUGCAGGGUUGGAUUGAGACACGGGAAGCAUGCACAGCCACAGAUCUAAUGGCCUAGCAUACUGUUUUAAUGCUGAGGAGUGGAAACAGGGUCCCAUAGUUGUCCCUCUGUGCACAGGUACUGUGCCUGAAUAAGGAUGAAUUAUGUCUGGAUGGUUUCCUAUCUCUUGGUGUCAUUGCUUGGUGUGCAGUUCAGAAACUGAACUUUGUGAGUUGACAUUCAUUGUCAAUUUAUCUUCAGCAUGAACAAGCACACUGCAGAAUGUGGUAUGUAUGCCUCUCUGGAUUGUGGCCUAAUUCUUAGUGUUUGUAGAGCUAUAAGGUAUUUAAAGCACUUCACAUUUAUAAACUUGUAAUCCUUACAACAAGCUUGUAAUAUUACCGUGUUAUUAUCCUCUGUAAAGCAGAUGGAGUGUGUAGGGUGGGGGUGAAGUAGGCGACUAAGGCUGAGAGACUGGCUUGUUUAAGGCCACCUAGUGAGGUUAUUCCAGAGGUGAGAAUUGAACUAGGGAUUUUUGAUUACUGAUAGCUCAGUCUCUUAGUCAUUAUGCCUAACUAAUUGUAGCUGACACUUGUUGAGUAUUUAUUGUACAGGUGUGCUCUUUAGUUCUCUGUAUGAAUGUGCUUUAAGAUGUAGCAGUAUCAGAGAAGUAAAGUUUCAUAAGCCACAGACAUAACUCUAGGUCUCCACAGUCAAAACUCCUAGAGGGUGCUGCAGCCUUCAUUGGGGGAGUGUGCAGAGUCAAAGUGCUUGCUUAUGUAUGUCACAAUAUGUUAUCUACUGAUAAUGGGUACAUAAUUUAGCUAAAUAGACAAUUUUGUUGCUAAAUUAAUACUGUGAUUUGUUGAUUAUAUUAUAGGGAUGUCCACACACUCACCAGCAGCCACCUGCAAUAUAGAGAUAUACUCACCUGCCUUAAAGAAUGGUUGCAUGGGUUACUAAAAUGUAUGUGAAAAGUUUUGAAUAUUGUUAGACACAUGGAGUUACUACUUCCACAUGAACACACUGGGGAUUACAGAUUUCUACAUCUGAGUAAUUGCCUUCCUUUUAAAUUUACAGUUUUCUGAUUUACCGUAUAUUCUACUGAAUUCAGUAAUGCUUACUCCAGACUGGUGUGCAUAGUUUGUAAAACAUUGCAGCUUCAAUUUAGUAACAUAUUUUUGCAGUUUAUAUUGUUCCCACUCUGUGCUACAUUGUACAAAUUUGUUUUAUCAUUUGUACAGCAAUCCUAUACUGUAUACACCUGACUCUAAGGCCCAUUGAACUAAGUGGGACUUCCAACUGGGUUGUGCUGUAAUCAUUUUAAUUUCAUACCCUUAAUUUAAGGGGGGGGGACUAAAACCCUUUUUUCUAUGGCAUAAAAACAUUUAAAAUGUUACAUUACUUUCUCACUUUCUUGUCUUGUAUCAUCAGUUAAAAAUCGAUAGGUAAUGUAAGUAAAGGUAAAGGGACCCCAUUAGGUCCAGUUGUGAUUGACUCUGGGGUUGUGGCGCUCAUCUCGCGUUAUUGGCCGAGGGAGCUGGUGUACAGCUUCCGGGUCAUGUGGCCAGCAUGACUAAGCUGCUUCUGGUGAACCAGAGCAGCACACAGAAACGCCGUUUACCUUCCCGCUUGGAGUGGUACCUAUUUAUCUACUUGCACUUUGACGUGCUUUCGAACUGCUAGGUUGUCAGGAGCUGGGACCGAGCAACGGGAGCUCACCCUGUAGCAGGAUUCGAACCGCCGACCUCCUGAUCAGCAAACCCUAGGCUCUGUGGUUUAACCCACAGCGCCACCUGCACCCCGCAGGUAGUGUAGCAGUGAGAAAUUAAUGUAAGCAGACUUGAGUUGGUGAUGUAGUGGUAUGGCAGAAGCCUAUUAGUUCAUUCAGCACAUUGAGAUAUAGCUCUGAUUUCUGUUGGAUGAUUCUGCCUCUUCUGUGGUUUACAAGAACUUUUAGAGCGAAUGAAGAUACUGCUUGUUUGACAAGAGGCGACACUUCUGCUUGGAUUCCUUGGUGGGCUGUCCUUUCCUUUUGCCUAUUCCAUUUAGAGCCUGGAGGUGUAGAUGCAUUUGCAUCCCCUGUUAAAAUCUGAGAUAUGAAAGCUAGGAGCUAAAUGGCACCUUGAACCUAGGUUAUUGGCACAACAACGGAAUGUCUAGGCACGCUUUUUAAAUAACAAUACAAAGCUGAAAAUGAGUGAACUGCAGCUAAAAUCUUAUAUUCAUUUUUCACAUGGUCUAGUCCUCAUCUGAAGACUGCAAAAAACAAAGCCAUGCUUCCCCUGCCUGCCCCCCUAAUAUUCUUAAGAGGGUCUCUUCUCCAGUCUUUAAAGAGUGGCUGGAAGUGGGGAGGCAGAAAAAGGUCCUCCUUUCCUUCCACUCUGCAGUUUUAAUCUGAAAUCUUAGGAGCAGUACUGCACCCAGAGCUCAAAAACUGUUCACGCUAAUGAACUUCCAUAUUGCAAAACAUGCCUAGAACAAUGGGAGUUUUGAACGCUGUUCGCAUCAUCAAAUUCUGUUGAAUUGUAAUGUCAUCCAGAGGGUUCAGUUUUUUAGCCUAAGUGUUUCUUGUGCUGCUAUCUGAUUUGUGUGUGUUAAGAGCUGUCAUGUUGCUUUAAAUUCAGUAGAUAACCUGAUAUGUGUAAUAUUUGUGAUGGGUGUAGACUGGUUUUGACAGCAUCUGUUAUCUUCAUAGAGCCACCAUUCUGUGGUGUGCAGGAUCCUGCUUUGUCUGGAAUUUGAAGUAUUUGGAUUGUUACAUACUGAACUAGUUUAUUUAGAAAAUGUAUAAGCCACUUAAUCAAAGAGUGUUCUCCAGGUUUGGGUGUAAUGUUCCUGGUCCAACAAAGUAUAGCUUGUUGAAGUGGAAAAGAGCAACAAACUUAAAUAAGUGCUUCCUUAUCACAACCUCCAGUGGAGACUGUUUUGUUAAAUCACAGUUUCUCCAUUACAUUGCAACAGGAAGACUGGUUUUAACAAACCAGAAAAACUCUGUUUUGCAGCUAGGAAUGUGAGAGGAGAUGGGGGAAGGAAUGCUCUUGCUCAUUGCUUGUUCCAAGAACACAGACCAAAAAUGUUAAGUGUGAGCUGGGUCAGUGUGCCUUUUGCUUGGAUACUGUCCUGUACCUUCUGGUAGAACAGAGUGCUUUUUUUGCCCACUUCUGCCAAUAAGUAACAGAACCUUCCAGAAAGGCGCCCAGAAAAUUCAUUAGUCCAUUAGAAACAUUACCAUGCUAUUGGCAUGUACCUCUGGAGUGCAAAGCAUCUUGAACAGUGAGUCUGGCAUGUUUUAUCUUAAAGGAGUUGUACAUAUUUAUUUACAGUACUCUGAGAAACAAUUGUCCUAAGAGAAAGGUAAAACAAUAAGCUCAAAUAAUAUAUUUUUAAAUUGAUUAUACUUUGUAGCAGGCAUCCCCAGACUUCGGCCCUCCAGAUGUUUUGGACUACAAUUCCCAUCAUCCCUGACCACUGGUCCUGUUAGCUAGGACUCAUGGGAGUUGUAGGCCAAAACAUCUGGAGGACCACAGUUUGGAGAUGCCUGCUUUAUAGCCCACCUUUCCCCCCAAGAAGUUCAUGGUGCACAUAGUUUUCCCUCCCCAACUUAUCCACACAAUAAAUUUGUGAGGUAGGUUAGACAGAGAUACAGUGACUGGGACAAAGUCACCCAAUGAACUUCAUGGCCGAGUAGGGAUUUGAACUCUGGUCUCCCACAUCAUAGUUCAACACCCUAACCAUUAUAGUACACUGGCCCUUCUUUUAAGUCCCAUUGCAUUCAGGUAACUGUGUGGACUGCUGCCCCAGUGUAAGUCCCCAAUGAAACUUACUUCUGAGUAGACAUAAAUAAUAUAUGUGUAAGUCUUGUUACCAGAUGGACAAUGAACUGAUGAAAGGUGAAUGUGAAAAUAGAAUGUUAGUAAAAUUUGCAGGUGUCAUGUGACUUCAAGAAAAAAGGUGAAUAUUUUGCAGUGAUUCUCAGUUAGUUUAGCUGAGCCUGAAACCCUUGACUUCAUUUGUGUCCGUGAAGUUAUGGGUGGAGUGCAUGACUUGUAAAUACCACCUUUAUCCCAGAAGGGGAUGGAGUAACAUAACAUCAGUGCUCAACAGAAUUGCUGUCCUUGGGUAGAUUAGGAGUGGAGCAUUGCAUUAAUGAUAAAUUACCAUAGCAGAGUUUUGUCUUCUGCCCCCUGCCACUCUUCUCUGUGCUAAAAUGUGCUAUUAUGCCUCUUACAUAUUGCAAUAACUUUUCUGGGUUUAAAAGUAAACCUACAUAUGUUGUUAUUACAAAUUGGAAUGUGACUGCUUUAGUGAACUAACCAAUUAAGUGUUGAUCAAGACUUUUAAAGCAUUAACAUUGUAAGAAUAAGAAAGAAAAUAAUCAAUGAGUUGGAUACUUAUGCUAAGUACAAAAAACAAAGAUUGUUGUUACUGCCUUCCUACAUAACACUAAGCUAUAGUUUGUUUAAGAGUUGUCUCAUAGAUGAGCAAACAAGUCACGACUUGCUUUUCCAGAGCUUGGUUUAUUUCCCUGCUGCUGUUGCCUUUGUAGCUUGGUGAGUGUUUGGGGUUGGAUGGCUAAACCGACCAUAGUUAAGCAAGGCUGUCUGAUAUCAACAUAAUGCCAAACCAUAAUUAAAACAAGCCACGAUUCAUAAGCCAACAAAAAACCAAGGCUUCAUAUCUUGGUUUGUUGCCAGAAAAUGAACCAUGUUUCAGCCUGCUGGGCUCAGCCAGCAAGCAACCCACACAAUGGCUAAACAAAUCCUUUCUUAGCAUUAUGUGAACUGCUAGUAGGUAGUGCCUUUUGCCACUGGUUACUGCUGGUGUUGCUUUUUGGCAAUGCCUAUUGAAGCACUCAAAGUAGUUGACAGUUUUUAAAAAAUGGCUUACGAUCCAAUAUGAUCCAAAAAAGAAAAAUUCAAGCACCAGAGCUUUCAUAAUGGUACAUAAUGAAGUUGCAUGCAGAGGUGGUAUGUAGGAGACAGUUCAGGGAUGUGGAAGGUAGAGCCAAAUGGCUGCUGAUCCCAGCCUGGCUGUUGUGCCAAAAUGGUAUGUCCAAAAAAAGCUCCAUGGAAAACUUUACAUAUGUGUAUGUUUAAUAGGGGAUUCCAGCAAGUGUUUGCACAUGUGCCUGGUGUUCUUGAAUUGAUAUCGUGUUUAACUGUUGUAAUAAGGGUGUCAUUGUAAAAUGUUUUGAAUGCCUGUAUUCUGCAAUAAGACAGGCAUGAUAACUUCCUGUCACUAUGAAAAUUUUAGUGAGCAGAUGGUGCCUGGAGAUUUGCAGCAGUGUCGCUAGAAGAGUUUCAGUCAUUAAGCAGUUAGUAUAGCUGUUUAACUCAUUAGUUAAGGCUCAUUAAUGGGUAGUUGCCAAUAAAAAUGUAGUAAGCAGGUAGUUUACCUAUUUCCAGCAGAGUCUGGACAAGAUUCUCAUGUUCACACUUGUAUAGUUUGAGUAAGAAGCAUGAACUGAAGCAAAAAGGGAUUGGUGUACUCUAAGGAUGUGUCUUAAGUCUUUGGAGGAAGGGAAGUGAUUAGAGUGGUCUUCUUCCCUAGGCUCCUGCACUGCAGUUUGAUUAGUUAAGGUAGAUAAUCCCCACCCCUGCAUCUCUCUGCCAUAGGGUAAAAGAUUGCUGUGGCGAUGAGUCAUGCUUGUGUUUUAACUGCUGUUACUUGAAUGCUCUGGCAGUUCUAUUCCUUUUCACUACUAAGCUAGUUUGAACUGUGUUACAACUGUGUUUGCUUUCAUGCUCUGAACGAGUCUUCUAGAAAACUCAUUGUACUUGUUUUUCCCCUCAGUAUGUUGCAGGUUCCACAGAAUCUGAGCUGAAUAGAUACUUCAGGGAAACGCAGUAAAAGUUACGGAUUUGGAUUCCACCUUUGUGCAGGAAUUGUACAGAGAAAUACUGUUCUUCCUUAACCAAACUUUUAGUAGGUGCACAUGAUUUCUUAGAACAGCUGUGUCUGUUAUAAAUUAUUCAUAUGCAGACUGAGAACAAGUGGGAGAAGAAAGGUUGUUUCUCAACAUUCUGUAUCCUUGGUCUUCAUGGCCUUAAGUGUGUUGGUGGUGAAGCUGAGUGAAGCUGAUUCACUUUCUUGGGAUUGGUGGUUGUGGUUGGAAGUGAUUUCUAUGUUCUUCCCAACCUUAACUCUGGCAAAGUGGGAUUUGUCAUGGCAGGGGUCCCCAGAGUGUCUGCCUUUAUUUCUUUAGAAUUUUUUAUAGAUUUCCUUAGAAGAAUUUAUAUGGCUUAAUAAGAAAACUCUAAGCUGUCAACACUAUUUUUGUAUGUGCAAAUGCUAGGGGAUAUCUGUUUAAAAAAUGGUAGCUGUCACCUGCCUGACAUUGUGGCUUGGAGUUGGUGAUUUGCGGUUUUAACAACAGCACAAGAGAACUAGAAUGAGAAUGUUGAAGGUAUAAGCAGCGUUCAAAAGUAGCUGGGUGCCAGUUGCAUUUUAAGACAGGCUGCUGGCCUUUUGUGAGGCAAUGAAGAUGUCUGGGCACCAGGUUUGGUGCCUAACAUCUCCAUCUGGCUGGCUGGCGUGAGCAAUCAGUGGGUGUCAGGGAGCCACCAGGGGUCAAGCGGAGAGUCCGGUGAAGCGCAGCAAGUGCUAUCCGACGCUGUCAGAGCCCCAGCAUCCAGCUCCUGUCAGCUUCCUCCGGAAGGCGGGACAAAGGCUCAGGACGAGGUGCUGACCCUUAGAGAUGUAGGGGAGGCGAGGUUGCCAGAGAGAGGGCUACAGGGGAAGGACCAAGGCACUCAAGGGGUGGAGGCUCCACAGGGGGCAGAGCCGGUCCCUCAGCUAAGCAGCUCUAGCGGAGAGAGCGCUCCUCCAGCACCCUCACCCCAGCAGAGGAGGGGUGACAAGAGGAGGGACCAAAGGAGGAGGUUCAAGGUGCCUAGGGGGUUAUGCUGGAGGCGUUCACGAAGGGAGGUGUUUCCAGAUUCUGGAUCAGACAUGCUUUGUCUGGAUCAGACAUGAUACUCGGUCUUGUACAUAUGUAUAUUAAUAAAACCCUGUAAAAACCAAGCACCGGGUUGGAGCCACUUACUCGUGAGGAAGCUAUGCACACCAUUACAGUUGGUCUGCGGAGCAGCAUGCCUGCUGCACAAAUCAGCUGGUCUGCGGGGUAGCAGUGUCCCAUAGAUCACCUGGCUUGCCCAGCACCAAAAGAGGCAUGUCUUUUGGUACAGUGUGAGCUAGGUGAAUCUCCUCAGCUGGCCAGCCACUCCAGCUCCAGCCUUCAGUGGCUCCACUUAAUCCAGGAGGCUGGCAUUCUUGACUCCCUCUGCUGCUGAAUUGUCCACUGGUGCUAGGCCGCUUCCUGUUGUGCUGUUCUUGCUCAACAGAGGCUGCUUGGGCCUGGCCUUGUUUGGGCAAGCCCUGCAGCAGACAGCUGCUCCUGGUGGUGGCAGGGGAUGGCAGCAAAGGCAGCCAAGAAACCUUUUAGGGCUGCUGCCUGGAGCUCCACUGGCACUGCGGAUGUGGAGCUGCUUGUUCUGUUUCUCCAGCUGCUUCUCCAGCUCCUGCAGCUUCUGCACUUGGGCGUCAGGUUCACGUUGGAGUUAAUGUUCUCCAUGGUGCCCUGUGGCUCUACCCAACCCCAUGACCCUCUCUGCUGCCGCCUCCUCAUCCUCCUAUUCUUCCUCCAUCCCUUUCUCACAGUUGCCUUCUGCACUCUUCUACUUCAACAGUUGCAGAGUUCAGGUUGGUCCAUGCACAGGAUUCUAUAACUCACAGCAAAUCUUAUUGAUAUAUGUGAUUAUUUGGAUUUGAGAGUUUUUUGUUUGAGGAAUAUAGUGAUCAUGUGUCCUCACAAUUCCAGCUAAUGAAUGAGUUGAGAAUCCAAGUAUCUUCCAAAGUGAAAGUAUUGACUAUUAAUGCCUCUCCUUUUUUGCUGAAGGACUUUUGUUGAGAGUGUGGUGCAGGUUGUCAUGACUAUUUGAGCACUAUUUAGUGAUUGAUGGAUCCACUGACUUCUAUACAAAGUGUGCUGUGCUGUGCAGAGGUGUUGAACAGGACAAGAUACUGGUAGGUCAUUUCUGAGUUAGUUAGAUAUAUUGACAGUUUCUCCAGUAAGAUGGCAGCUGACAAGGCAUAGCUAUUACUUACUUGACAAAUUUAUGAUUACAGUACUGUACUCAGCAGAACUCAGCAAGAGAGCCCUUGUGUUGGCUUAAUUUUAUUAAACAUUUAUACUCAAUUUUAUAUAAUAUUUGUAUUUUGAAAAGCAGUUCACAAACUAGGAAAACAGUGAAACUCAAAAUGCAAUCUAAAUAAAAAUAAAUAUGAAGAUAACACAGGAGCAAAGUCAUAUAAUGAUCAAAGGCCAGUUGAAGUAAAAGUGUUUGUUAGUUAUUAGGGAAGAUAUUGUGUGGUGUUUUCUUGGCAGAGAAUUCACAAAAUCGGGUCUGCAACAGGGGAGGUCCUACUUCCAGUGGAUAUUAGCUUCGUGCAGUUGAAUUCAUUAGAAUAUCUUAUGUACUGGUGGAUUUGUAUGGGAGAAGAUGUUCUCUGACAAAAUCAGAUUAAAUCCAAUUGACAGCUAGUGCUAAUAUUUCAAAACAGGCUAUGUAUGUGAACCUGGGUCUACAUGUGAAUUUCUGUCUAUACCUGCUAACAUGCAGGCUGCCACAUUCUACACUAGCUAACGUUUCUGAAUCAUUUUUGAAAAAGCAGCUCCAGUCAUGAAAGGUACUGACCAGCUCUUCUAUCUUUUUAGCAGAAUUAGAUGCUAAUGGCUUUGGGCUAUACCUCUUUCCCUGUAACACUGUGGCUGGUUUAGCUUGAUUGGGCCGUCUAGAGUAGUUUGCUCUGUAUGUCUCUUUCUGCACAAUUCAUGCUCUCCAGUUAUGCUGUGGUUUGCCAAUAGAGUUUAAUAGACUUCAGCUGCCUGUUGGUUCCUACAUGAGUAUUCUUUGUAGUUCAGGGUGCUGGGGUUGUCUUGGAUCUGCACUAUGAUGUUGAUCGGGACGGCUUCUCAUUGGCCAAAGACUCUGGGUUGAUUGAAGGAAGGAGUCCAGAUAGUAUACUUGCAUGCUUUCAGUUCCACUGACUGACAACUGCUGUGUGCUGCACCCAUGGGGUUCAUAUUUAAACCACAAGAAGAGUAAAUGUAUGUAACAAAUGUCAAGCCAAGAAGUAUAUCUUACUGGUGAGGGGGUAGUGUUAGUGGGCAGGAGGGAGCUGCUUUGCAUCCAUGUUGUUGUAUCUCCUGAUAUUCUAACCAGAAUAGAAUAUAGAAUUGUAGAUUUGGAAGGGAUCGUGGGGCUCAUGUAAUCCAACUGCUUGCAAUGCAGGAAUCUUUUGCCCAGCAUGGUGCUUUAACCCUGUCUCAUGCUCUACCAACUGAACUAUCAUAGCACAGUCCUUUGGGAUUCCUGCUAACUGAGCUCUUUUUAAAAGUUCUGUUCACUUUUUAAAAAACGAAGCAAAUGGCUUAUCUCAAAGCAGUUACAGAUGUUGGAGUUCUUAACAGGAGGGAGCCAAUCCAGGUGGAUUUGUACAAUGAAAAUGCUGACUGAGGGAAAAAUUCCUCCUUCUAGCUCAAAUGUAUGUAAAAUCUCAUUUCAUAGCAAGACUUUGCAAAGGAAAGCCAGAGCAAGACAUUACUAAAAGCAAAAGCAUAAUUAGUUAUGCUCAGUGUAACAGCCGUGAAAACUGUGCCUUCAGUCUUCUUGCUUGCAUGAGCCUACUCCUCCUACUAAAGGAGUGUCAGUGCCAAUGCUGGGGCUGAUGGGAGUUUUAGUCCAAACAUCCAGAGCAGGCAUGCCCAAGAGGUAGUUCUUGAGCUACUGGUAGAUCAGGGGACGUCUGUGGUAGAUCAGCGGCUCCCCCCAAAGACGGUCAACAACUUUGUCACCCCUAAAAAAGCUCAACAUUUUUGCCCUGCACCCUCAAAAAAGUGAGUCUUUCCUAGAGAAAGAUCAACAGCUAUGACCUGAACCCCCCAAAAGGGGGUAGAUGGCAGUUUUUACUCUGUGAGUCUCUUGGGAGUUGGCCACCCCUGAUUUAGAGGGUACCAAGCUUUAAUGAAAUGAUCUGGUAGGGCUUUGAGACAGUAAAAGGUGAACAGGAACUUCAGUUGGAAUUUCCAGUAUUUGCCAAUAUUUGAAGAGUAGCUACCGGUAGUUCUAAGGUCACUAAAACAAUAGUUAUUGCUGUAAAUAGGUGGUAGGGAGCAAUCAGUGGGAUAUACAGUAAGUACGGUAUAUAUUAUAUUCUGCCUUUCCUUGUGCAGUCUAAGACAGUUAACACAAUAAUAAAAUGCCACAAACAAAAAACACCAUUAACAAUUAACCACUUAGAAUAGCUCAGUUGGUUAGAGUGUGGCGCUAAUAAUGCUGCGGUUGCAGGUUUGAUCCCUGAAAGGGCAGCUGUAUAUUCCUGCAUUGCAGGGUGUUGGGCUAGAUCAGGCAUAGGCAACCUUGGCUCUCCAGAUGUUUUGGAACUACAACUCCCACGAUCCCUGACCACUGGCCCUGUUAGCUAGGGAUCAUGGGAGUUGUAGUUCCAAAACAUCUGGAGAGCCAAGGUUGCCUAUGCCUGGGCUAGAUGAUCCUCGGUGUCCCCUCCAACUCUAUGAUUCUAAAAAACAGCAGCAAUAACAAUGGAAUAGAUUUGUACGAGUAUAAUAAGGCUGUUGGGAAAGAUUGAGGGCACAAGGAGAAGGGGACAACAGAGGACGAGAUGGUUGGACAGUGUUCUUGAAGCCAUGAACAUGAGUUUGACCAAGCUGCGGGAGGCAGUGGAAAACAGGAGUGCCUGGCGUGCUAUGGAUCAUGGGGUCACGAAGAGUCGGACACGACUAAACAGCAACAACAAUAAGGCUGAGCUGUAUGACCCAUCCUUGGAAAAAAGCCUUGACGCAGCAGUGGAAGGCUGAUGAGAGCUCCUUAGGCAGGGAGUUCUGAGUCUAGGCACAACAACAAAGAAAUGUGGACUUGGAGCAGACAGGAGGGUCCCUCUGUCGAUGAUCUUAAUGAGCCAGGCAGGCUCACAUGGAGAGAAGGAGGUCCUUCAGAUAUCUUGCUCAUAAAUCAGAAGACUUUAAAGGUCACACAUAACCAGCCUUUUCAGUUAGUCAGGAAACAAAUAGAGAGCUGGUGCAGCAGUUUCAACAGUGAGGUUAAUCAGCUACCUGGCUGUCACAUUUUGAACAAGCUGCGGCUGCUGGACACUUUCAAAGGCAGCCCCACAUAAAAUGCAUUUUCUUUGCAUGCAGACCACCAAUACAACAGUCCAUUAAUUUCAAUGUGUUUACCUUCGUUAAACCUUCGUAAGGUUUAAAAACCAGAUUCCAGUUAUUUUUUAAAUAGCCCAUUCAAGUCUGAAAUCAGCCUUAAUAGUAGUUAAUGGGUGUUGAGAAGGUACCGAGAUGAGAGUAAUAGUCAAAGUUUUAAAAGUAUGGGCAAUCUACUCCCACCAUCUGCUUUUACAAGGGAUUAUUAUUGUUGUGCCAUCUAACGGACUACCAGGCCUUUACCCACAACUUCAUUAGUGUUGCAGUAGUGUAAGGUGCUCACAAACAAAUGACUUGGGUUGUUCUUGGCACUUAAAUGAAAUAUGAACCCUUUUAGACAUAGGCAAGGCAAGUGUUGCCUUUGUUGAGAGAUUCAUCAGUGUAAGGUUUUCUAGAAUCCUGUGGCUUCUGGCCACAUGAAGUCUCAGCUGAGGGUCCCUCUGGGACUUCCACGAGAAGGUUGCCAAGCUGUUAUUGCAUUACCUUGUGCUCUGCUUCCUUUGUGGCCUUGGCUGAAUUUUUUUGGGCAAUUUGGACAAUGACUCUUUGUUGGAAGUGCCUUAUCAGUCACUUGGAUGUGGGUAGCGUGGGUCAAUGUCUCUUUUCUAAUUAAACUUUCCCUUUUAAAAUAUUUGAUUUAGACUGGCUUUUAAACUAAUUAAUUUUAAAAAUAAAGUCUGGUGGCAUCUUGAAGGCUAAUGGAAUAAUAAAAGCUUUCAUGAACAAUCUACCAACUGAGGAUAACAUUUCACACAUCUGCUGGAGUGGGCCAUGGCCCACAAAAGCUUUUGCCACAUAGAUUCUGUUGGUCUUUGCAAUGCCACAAUAGACUAACACACCUGCCUUUUGAUAAUUUGUCACUAUGAUUAAUUUAGCGUAGGCUUAAUGAACUGCAACAGCUCAAUGACUGCAUCUUUUGGGUGAUCUUGAAGGAAGUGGACCACAGCUUCUCUAGUUGAGAGAACUUAGUAGCAAGCUAGCAAGCUGCCACUUGAUGCUGGAAGGGAUAAGUAUUGUUCCUUUUCAACAAAUUUGCCAAAAUGUUAUCUAUUUGUAAUAGGGCAUAUAGGUUGCCAACCUGUCCCCAGAAGUGCCCUAACUCAUAAAAGUAUGCCAAAAUACAGCCGUACCUCCGUUUACAUAACCCUCUGGUUACGUAAACUUUGGGAUGCGCGCGGGGCAAACCCAGAAGUAUUUUACCGGGUUUCACUGCAUGCACAGAAGUGGUCCUCAGGUUGCAGAAACCUUGGAAACUGACUGGACCUCCAGAAUGGAUCCUGUCCGCAACCAGAGGUACCACUCUAUCUUGUGUAAAUUAAUAUGCCUGUUUAUACUAGUUAGGGGUUUCUUUGGACAAUAAUGCAUGAGACAUUCUAAAUUUCAAAGAAAAUGAUUCAGCAAUCUGUAUUAAGGAAGAUGAACUAUGAUUUCAGUUGAACGCUGCCAACUUCUGUUCUUUUUUUUAUUUAUCAGAAGGAAAGAAGACAGUUUCUAAUUUUGAAUUUGAAUCAUAGGGUUGGAAAGGGACCACAAGGUUUUUUUUUAUCCAACCACCUGCAAUGCAGGAAUCUUUUGCCCAAUGUGGAGCUUGAACCCAUUAUCCUGAGAUAGCCAUGCUCGUAUCAACUGAGCUAUCCUGGGUUAUGUGAAACAUUUUUAUCCUGCUCUUCACCCCAAAAGGAUUCUAGAGCUGCUUAUAGAUCUGUACAAUAGACAUUACCUGCCUUCACAUUUACAGUCUAAAAGGCCUGGUGCUGGAAAAUAAAUCCGUGGAGGAAUGUUAGGAAGACUGAAGCUUCAGUUCAGGGGUGGGGAACCUUUUUCAUCCAGAGAGACACAUUCAUUAGGGGAUGUAUGCCAGUGGUGGGUAGAAUUAGAGGCAAAAGUGGGCAUAUCAAUGGGUUUUUGUAUCAUAGGGAACAGCACAAAAGCCACCCACUCUCGCAUUUCUCUGCAAAACUCAUUGGUGAGCCAUAAUGCUUUAGAGCAGGGAUGUCCAACAGGUCAAUCGUGAUCUACUUGUAGAUCCCCGGGAGGUUUUGUUUGAUCAUGAACCCAGCCCCGCCCCCUCACUCUGCCCUCCAUUGUUGCACUAUCUGUACAACGGAAGACAUCCUCCCUAAAAAAAGCUCAACUUUGAACUGAACCCCCCAAAGGGGGUCGAUCACUGCCAGUUUUUAAUUCUGUGAGUAGAUCACAGUCUCAGGGGAGUUGGCCACUCCUGCUUUAGAGGAACAAUGUGAGUUCAUGAUUCCCUCUUGAGACCAUUGCUAUGUGAUUUCAGGAAAGCUACUAGGAUCAGUAAGCAUGCAUUGCUCUUAGGGGCUUGAAGAGUCAUCCAAGUUGCAUCUCAGUUAAUGUAAAAUUAGUAGAGGACAUUUGGCUUCAUUCUUCCUUUCGCUUGCUUUUCUUGAGGGAAAUCCCACCAUUUUUUAACCAACUCACCUUAACUUGGCAGGGCUAGAAACAUUCUGGGUGCUUGGUUGCUCAUGCCCUUCCACUGCUGAUGUCGAUGACUAUAAAUUUUAAAUAUGCAUCUAGACCACUGAACAAGAUCUUAGGGCUAUAUAUAGGUAUCUGUUCCAUUGUUAAAAUGUAUUGCCGGUUUGGGGUAUAUGUCCUGUCAAGAUGUAUGAACAAAAUUAUGCUGAUAUUUAAAGAAAGAAAAAGCUUAGCUUGGCCGUGUAUCCUAGUAGACAGUGUUAGAUACUGAGAUAGGAAUGACCGGGAGACUUCGUGACCAGAGGGAAGAGUCGGUGGAAGAAGACUGAAAGAAAUUUAAAGUUUAUUUAAAAAAUAAAUGUAAGAUUGGAAAUAAUUAAUAUAAGAACUGGAAGUAUAUGGAGGUUGCAGAGGAGGAUUGGUCGAGAAUUUACAGAUACAGUGGUACCUCUACUUACGAAUUUAAUGCGUUCCGAACGCACAUUUGUAAGUCGAAAAAAUUUGUAAGUCAAAUCCCAUAGGAAUGCAUUGGGAGAAAAAUUCGUAAGUAGAAACAACCCUAUCUAAAAAUUCGUAAGUAGAAAAAAUCCUAUCUAAACCGCAUCCAAGAUGGCGGACAGAGCUCUGUUCGUAAGUAGAAACAUUCGUAAGUAGAGUUAUUCGUAAGUAGAGGUACCACUCUAUUAAAUUUCAAAUAUGUGGAAAAAUUAUAUUGUUGAGUUCGCAUUAGAUAUAAAUGUCAAGGUAAAAUUGAUUGGUAUGUUAAGGAAGUAAUAAGAGAUAUUAUUUGACAGUGAAGUUAACCAGAGAAGAAUAUGUUUAUAUAACCUAUAAAUAAGAUUGGAAACAAGAUGUAGAAAGUACUAAAGAUGAUAUACAUUGUAACACAGUUGGGAAGUACUGGAGGAAGUCAACAAUGUAAGAAUAUAUGAUAGAUAAUUACAGUAGAGUCUUUUCUUUUUCUCUUUUUUGUUGUUGUUGUUUUGGUUUUAUAUAUUUUUUGUAUGCUUGUAUUCAUUUUCAGGUUUGUGUUUUUUUUCCUUUUUGUAUUUUUAAGCUUAUAAAAUAAAUAAAAAAUAUAUUUUUUUAAAAAAAAGUAAUGCUAGGAGCCAUGUGCUACUGGGACCUAGGUUGGGGGCCCAAAACAAAACGUCUAGGUGCCAUUUUUUGUUGUUGUUGCCCUGCUACCAAACCAGGCAGCCCCACCAAAAAACAAAACAAAAAACCCUGUGGGGAGAAUCAGGGUCUGCAGGGUAGCAUGGCAGCAAAAGAUGCAUUUUUUUGCUACCGCUCUACCCCGCCCAAACACCUGAUUCAUCUGGCAGUGCGACAGCAAAAUAAAGACACAUCCUUUGCUGUUACACUGCUGGGCAAAUCAGGUGUUUGGUGGGGGUAACGCUGCAGAAAAAGAUGUGCAUCUUUUGCUGCCGCUUUGCCCAGCAGCCCACAGCCAGGCAGGUGGAGAUGUUAGGUGCCAAGGAUGGCUCCUGGACAUCUUCAUCCAGAUGCAUCAGGCCGGCUUAUUUUGAACACUGCUAGUAGAUGAGAAGGCACAUGGCUAAAAUGCUUUGUUGCUGCCUUGCUUGGAUGAAGCAAAAAACAAUUCAGUAGGACCACUGUGGAUUAGAGGAGCACUCUUUUUGCGUACACUCUCUGUGCUAAAUAGGCUUAUGGCAAGCUGUUUUAAGAGAAGUGGACUCCUUUGUCGUUUAAAAAUACCACAUCCUGUUUGCUGGGAUAUGGAUCUCAUUGAAAGGCUAUAUAAAGCUUGUCUCUUUCCACCCACUGCGUUGACUGUAGAAAACGAAAUGGUCUUCUCCUUUUCUUCCCCCCCA